rnacentral:misc_RNA from 1 species
UCCUCCUUACAGAGGCAGUUUCGUCCGAGUUCCCGACUUGACUCGCUGGCAACAGACGAUGAGGGUUGCGCUCGUUGCGGGACUUAACCCAACAUUUCACAACACGAGCUGACGACAGCCAUGCACCACCUGUGUAGCACCCUCGAAGGCGACCGGCUUUCACCGGCUUGCAGCUACAUGUCAAACCUUGGAUAAGGUUCUUCGCGUUGCAUCGAAUUAAGCCACAUGCUCCACCGCUUGUGCGGGCCCCCGCCAAUUCCUUUGAGUUUCAACCUUGCGGCCGUAGUCCCCAGGCGGCUCACUUAAUGCGUUAGCUGCGGCACCGGAGGUUGCCCUCCGACACCUAGUGAGCAUCGUUUAUGGCCAAGACUAC